AAUGCCCUACGGGGGGCAGCAGUAGGGAAUCUUCCACAAUGGACGAAAGUCUGAUGGAGCAACGCCGCGUGAGUGAAGAAGGGUUUCGGCUCGUAAAGCUCUGUUGGUAGUGAAGAAAGAUAGAGGGAGUGACUGGCCUUUAUUUGACGGUAAUUACUUAAAAAGUCACGGCUAACUACGUGCCAGCAGCCGCGGUAAUACGUAGGUGGCAAGCGUUGUCCCGAUUUAUUGGGCGUAAAGCGAGUG
rnacentral:rRNA from 1 species